GGCUCAACCUGGGAACUGCAUUGGUGACUGGCAGGCUAGAGUAUGGCAGAGGGGGGUAGAAUUCCACGUGUAGCAGUGAAAUGCGUAGAGAUGUGGAGGAAUACCGAUGGCGAAGGCAGCCCCCUGGGCCAAUACUGACGCUCAUGCACGAAAGCGUGGGGAGCAAACAGGAUUAGAUACCCUGGUAGUCCACGCCCUAAACGAUGUCAACUAGUUGUUGGGGAUUCAUUUCCUUAGUAACGUAGCUAACGCGUGAAGUUGACCGCCUGGGGAGUACGGUCGCAAGAUUAAAACUCAAAGGAAUUGACGGGGACCCGCACAAGCGGUGGAUGAUGUGGAUUAAUUCGAUGCAACGCGAAAAACCUUACCUACCCUUGACAUGGUCGGAAUCCUGCUGAGAGGCGGGAGUGCUCGAAAGAGAACCGGCGCACAGGUGCUGCAUGGCUGUCGUCAGCUCG
rnacentral:rRNA from 1 species